AGCCUGGUGGUGCAGCGGUAGCACAUUCCAUCAUUACGCGCUUCUGAGGAAUAAAAAAAAAUCUCUUAGAUGAGAGGUCGAGGUUGGAAAGACGUGGGUUCAAAUCCCACCCGGGCUA